AACGAACGCUGGCGGCAGGCUUAACACAUGCAAGUCGAGCGCCCCGCAAGGGGAGCGGCAGACGGGUGAGUAACGCGUGGGAAUCUACCCAUCUCUACGGAAUAACGCAUGGAAACGUGUGCUAAUACCGUAUACGUCCUUCGGGAGAAAGAUUUAUCGGAGAUGGAUGAGCCCGCGUUGGAUUAGAUAGUUGGUGGGGUAAAGGCCUACCAAGGCGACGAUCCAUAGCUGGUUUGAGGGGAUGAUCAGCCACACUGGGACUGAGACUCGGCCCAGACUCCUACGGGAGGCAGCAGUGGGGAAUAAUGGACAAUGGGCGCAAGCCUGAUCCAGCCAUGCCGCGUGAGUGAUGAAGGCCCUAGGGUUGUAAAGCUCUUUCACCGGUGAAGAUAAUGACGGUAACCGGAGAAGAAGCCCCGGCUAACUUCGUGCCAGCCGCCGCCGUAAGAC
rnacentral:rRNA from 1 species